rnacentral:rRNA from 1 species
CCUACGGGAGGCAGCAGUAGGGAAUAUUGCUCAAUGGGGGAAACCCUGAAGCAGCAACGCCGCGUGGAGGAUGAAGGUUUUAGGAUUGUAAACUCCUUUUGUUAGAGAAGAUUAUGACGGUAUCUAACGAAUAAGCACCGGCUAACUACGUGCCAGCAGCCGCGGUAAUACGGAGGGUGCAAGCGUUACUCGGAAUCACUGGGCGUAAAGAGUGCGUAGGCGGGGUAAUAAGUCAGAUGUGAAAUCCUGUAGCUUAACUACAGACCUGCAUUUGAAACUGUUACUCUUGAGUGUGGGAGAGGUAUGUGGAAUUCUUGGUGUAGCGGUAAAAUCCAUAGAGAUCAAGAGGAAUACUCAUUGCGAAGGCGACCUGCUGGAACAUUACUGACGCUGAUGCACGAAAGCGUAGGUAGCAAACAGGAUUAGAUACCCUUGUAGUC